UUCUGGAAAUGUGUCCAAACUUUCCAUUUUUACAGUUUUUUUCUUAGCCAGCUUGCAGGCAGUGCACAGCAAUGGGUGGAGGAGGGGCAGCACCAUAUUGACUCUCUGCUCUACACAGCUGGAAAAAAAAAGUUACUUCUGCCCUUUCUGUACUAGGAGGAGUUUUAACUACAAAAACAUUUAUAUUAAGUUUUAUGUCUUGGCCAGGUCUUCCUCAUAAAACAGAUCUUUGAUCUCAGUGGGACUAAAAUGGUAAAGGUUAAAGAAAUGAAACAAAAACAUUAAAACAAGACAUUUUGAAACCGUAGCGUACCAUGACCGCUCCUGGUUUCUGUGCACAGUCAGCGUUUUGUCUUCUUCUACUGGGAUAAAUGAUGUUUGUGUUGCUGUCUCAGAUGAGGAGGAAGCUAACUCUGCAGCCAACGGAGGUCACAGACUUCCACGCAGCCCCGUCCCUGAGCGCGCCAAGCAGGCUCGAUGUAAAGUUCGCUCAGAAGUGGUCGAGCUCACCAGAGACAUGGUGGACCGCACCAGCGCCAACUUUCUGCUGUUCCCACCGUGCGUGGAAGUCCAGCGCUGCUCUGGCUGCUGCACCAGCAGGGACAUUCAGUGUGUUUCCAAUUCCACAAGCACCAGAAACCUGACGGUCACGAAGAUCGUGU